GACGAACCGUGCAAACGUUGUUCGGAUUCACUGGGCUUAAAGGGCGCGUAGGCGGUCGAUCACGUCCGGGGUGAAAUCUUUCGGCUUAACCGGAAAAUAGCCUGGGAUACGGAUCGGCUGGAGGGAGGUAGGGGCAGGUGGAACUUCCGGUGGAGCGGUGAAAUGCGUAGAUAUCGGAAGGAACGCCGGUGGCGAAAGCGACCUGCUGGACCUCUUCUGACGCUGAGGCGCGAAAGCUAGGGGAGCGAACGGG
rnacentral:rRNA from 1 species